ACGAACGCUGGCGGCGUGCUUAACACAUGCAAGUCGAACGGUGAAGCGCCUUCCUUUUUGGUGGGUGUGGAUGAGUGGCGAACGGGUGAGUAACACGUGAGUAACCUGCCCCCUUCUUCUGGAUAACCGCAUGAAAGUGUGGCUAAUACGGGAUAUUCUGGGUCUGUCGCAUGAUGGGUCUGGGAAAGAUAUUGUUUCGGUGGGGGAUGGGCUCGCGGCCUAUCAGCUUGUUGGUGGGGUGAUGGCCUACCAAGGCGGUGACGGGUAGCCGGCCUGAGAGGGUGGACGGUCACACUGGGACUGAGACACGGCCCAGACUCCUACGGGAGACAGCAGUGGGGAAUAUUGCACAAUGGGCGCAAGCCUGAUGCAGCGACGCCGCGUGAGGGAUGGAGGCCUUCGGGUUGUGAACCUCUUUCGCCAGUGAAGCAGGCCUGCCUCGUUUGUGGGUGGGUGGACGGUAGCUGGAUAAGAAGCGCCGGCUAACUACGU
rnacentral:rRNA from 1 species